CAGCUGUCUAAAUGGCCCCCAGCUGGCCCUGAGAUACAGCGUGGUUGACUCCGGAAGAUGGUUCUUCUUCGUUCUACUCUACUUGGAGGCGUAUUCCUGGAUGAAUGAAAUCUCUCUGAAAUCCCCCAAAAUCUGACAUUUGCCAAGCUAGACUUACUGGCAUCAAGAGUACUCAACUUCCUGCUUCUGCCCCAUAAUUUUAUAUGUGAAAGUCGUCAUCAAAGCUUGCAAGGCAACUCGUGUUGCGCAUUUCCAGAGACCAAACCUCCCCUCUGUUAUUUCAAACAGUCAACAGCUGCUCAGCCUGUUCUUCCCAUCACUGUUGAUGAUUGCGUUAGAAAAAAAUCCAACUUGAAAAAAAUCUUGAAAACUGAGAACAGCAAAGCAACCAGUGGCUACUAAGAGGCAGUACGCUGUUAUCAGCCUUGGCUCUCUUCUUGGGCGCUUGCCCAGUGAGACUAAAUUCUCUUUACAGCAAGGCAUGGUUUCAGCUGACCUGCUGUGAAUGUCCCCAGUGAGUCAGUGCCGUUAACUCCAUCAGCGCCAUUUGCUGUCCACUUGGACGUUUCUGAACAGCUGCUUGGCUCCAGUGCCGACUCCUAACUGGAAAUAUGGCCUGGUCUGACUCAGUUUCAGAAGAGGAAUAUGGGAGGGAAAGGGGAGGAGAGGGAAAGAGAGAAAACACACAUGCCUCCACUCAAAGAAGACUGACAACUCUGUUUUUUUCCGUUGAUUAUGGUGGAAACGAAUUUUGAAUAAGUGGAAAGACUAAAUCCAGGUUGUCAUAUUCUCUCCAUUUUUUCUCUUAUUAUUUUUCCCUUGAAGUUGGGUUGGGAUUUGAUAUUGAAAUUACGUGCUAAUGUAGAAAUUUGCAGCCCUUAAGAUGUCACCACAUUUUUUUAAAGAUAUCCACUUUUUUUAAAAAAACAUAUCCAUCUUAUUUUCCAAAGGCAAGAGUGACUCUUUCCUUUAUUCUAAAAAUAUUUUUCAUAAAAUUGAAAAUCCAUUCUGAAUCAAUCAACAACUUUUUUGGAGCACUUGUUAGAACAGGCUUCUGGACUAGACAUUAACAAGGAUUCUGAGAAAUAUCAGACAUGAUCCCUGGAUUCAAGAAUUUGUAAUAAAAUUUAGAGAAAAGGCCUGUUCAAAUAGAUGGUCCAGGAGCAAUAUGAGGGAGUGUGCACGGAGAUGCCAAAGGCUUGGUACAGCUACGAGAGGCUGCAGGAGCUCCUGAGAAAGGAUCUGGGCUGGCGGCUUUA
rnacentral:lncRNA from 1 species